AGCAACUGGAACUCUAAUACAUUGAGUAUUGGGAUGUAAAAUGGUGUAGUCUCAUUGAAAGAAAGUUUUCAUUUUUUAAAAAAAGUACAACAAACUCACCGUAUGACACAGCAAUUCCACUUCUGCAAAUCUACAGAAGCAUGCUGUUCCCUGAGUGAAUCUUCCUGAAAGUCUGUAAAAAGGGAAUCUGAGGAAACAGAGCCCUUCAUCAAAAGGUUUCUGCAUGAGCGCACAUUCAAUUCUCCACUGUUUUGAUAAGACCCCACCCUGUUUUUAUGGCUGGCUCCUCCCAGUACAGGAUGAAGUAUAGUCCCCCAGGAUUUAAAGUGCUUAUUUAACAGAUGAAUCAUGUGUGGAUAAAUUGUGGAUCACAUUUAUCUUUUGAAACUUACUACUUGAGGUUUGCUCUCUAAAAUAAGACUCUUGGACUCACAAAGGCCAGAAAACCUUUAUGUCUGCAGAUAUAUGAUAAGAAGAUGUUUAAAGUACUCUGUUGGAAAUAUCUGGGGAGUGCCAUAAAGGAGAAGGACUGGUAUCCCUCAGUCCCACAAGGUCACUGGAGUGGAACAUCAGUGCUAUGACAUAUUUGUUUCCGGGGAAAAGCACAUUGGCCUUUGCCUCCUUCUUUUCUAACCAGCUGGCAAAUAAAGUAUUCCCAGAGGGUUGAAUAUAAUCUUGGUGAGCUGACAAUGAAGCCUGCCAGACCAUAGGACAAAGUUUGAACCAAAAGAAUUUUAAACUGCUAGAUUUCUUGGGAUGGAUUCCUCAGGUCUAGUAUGACAAUCCUUCUCUAUCAUUGUGCAUUGUUCAUUAGGAGCUUUUUCUUUUUCUUUUUUUUCUUUUUCUUUUUUUUUGAGAGACACAGUCUCACUCUGUCACCAGGCUGGGGUGCAGUGGCUCAAUCCCGGCUCCCUGCAACCUCCACCACCUGGGUUCAAGGGAUUCUCCUGCCUCAGUCUCCUGAGUAGUUGGGACUACAGGUACACACCACCACACCCAGCUAAUCUUUGUAUUUUUAGUGGAGACGGGGUUUCACCAUGUUGAUCAGGAUUGUCUCGAUCUCUUGACCUCAUGAUCCACCUGCCUCGGCCUCUCAGCGUUCUGGGAUUACAGGCGUGAGCCACCGCACCCGGCUUAGCUUUUUCUAUUUGCAGUUUGUAUGAGUGGUUGCUACUUAUUUCACAUUAAAUAUCUGGGUCCAAUUACAUCUUGCCAUUGCACUAAUUUAUAGGAAUGCAUCCCCUGUUACUGCAUUAAUGGCUAUAGUCUAUUCCUUCUGUUUUUCUCACUGUCAUUCUUACUUAAAUACUUCUUGACAUGUUUCUGGCUUUUCAUAACUCUAUGGACCUCCCAGGUAACAUAAUGCCACCUGCUACUCUUUCUAACAAUCAAACUUCGUCACAACUGUGUGCAUUACAACUAAGAAGAUCAAUUUAUUUUUUAGCAGUUUCACUUUGUAAGUUUCUCAAACUCUAUUAUCCCUCAGUCUACUUUUUCUUAGAAUAUGAUCUCAUGUCUUACUUAUAAUACAUCCCACUUGAACUAUUUUAGUUUCUCAACAAAUUUAUUGAGGAAACAUUAUUUUCCCUUGGUUAUCUUUCUACAUAUAGAGGGCCAUUUCAUUCUCCAAGCAGAAGCAGUAAUAAGCUAUUAUUUUCAAGAAUUCUGCAUAUUUUUCUCAUUUAUUUUACCAUAAGAGAGAAACAUUUGUAUUCAUUGACUAUCCUAUUGGUUGAGUUAACUCAUUAGAGAACAGUACUCACACAUUGGCCUACUACUUGUUUGUUUGUUUGUUUUUCUCUCUGUCUCUCAACAGUUGCCCCAUCUGCAGUGUAAAGGUUAGGUAGAGUUCACGGGCUAGAACUGCAGACCACACAUUUGAAACCUUAAUUCAGGCUGUUUAUUCAAUCCAGGUUAAACAGAAAUAAAAUAAUAUAUUGUUUAAAUUUUUAUACCUAUGUCUAUUUUUUAAUUGGUUCAAAACAUAAAAGAGAGAAAUAUAAUUAAUUAGUACCUCUCAAGACCUCAAAAAAUCAUUUAAUUGUAAUAUAUGGGUAUUAUAAUCUUGUUAUUAAAAUGUACACUUAUAAACAGUGUAAUGAGAAAUAGGUACAUGAUGAAGAGUUAACUUAUUUAAUGGCAAACAACUUACUGAGUGGUCAAUUUUCAAGUUCAUUGAUGAAACAGUUUGUAUUUACAGAAAAAUAACUAGAUGAUAUAUGUCCCAUCAACUCUCUGUGUUAUUUCUUUCUUUCUUUCUUUCUUUCUUUUUUUUUUUUUUUUGAGACAGUUUCCCUCUUGUUGCCCAG
rnacentral:lncRNA from 1 species